GGUUUUUUUUUUUUUUUUUUUUUUUACCAUAGUUACUGAGUAUCCAGUCCUUGGAAGAUCUCCUUGGCCACAUGGAACGGUGAGGGCCAUCUUAUUCCCCAGCAGUAGGGAGAAGCAUUGCAGUGGCACCAAGUUCUCUUUUCUGAGAGGUUCUGUCUUGUGACCCUCUGUGGCUGAAGCUGGCUCUUGACCUUACCUGGGCUGGCUACCCUUGCUGGUGGGUGUCCUUAGAGAACUUGCUUACUUCCUACCAUGUCACCAAGUACACUCCUUGUAACAAGCUGAUCUGGUACAGUGAUGAGCAACCAGGGACCAAGCAUGGCCUGUGUAAGUUUGAGAGAUUGCCUACUGUUUAAUUUCAAGAACCUCCCUGGCGAGAGCCAAGCUCUCUGUGGCCACUGCAUGGCCUUGUGCUGUUGGCAUUGAGGAGGGGUGAAUAGGGCCAUCGUGAGGACACUGGGGGAAUAACCUUAUGGAGACAGUGAGGAACCCAGCCUAAGGCUGAGAAGAAUGAAGAGGGAGGGGCAUUUUGAAGUAAGUUCCCCUCACUGUGGCUUCUGUCAAGAAGAAAAAAGGAACUGAUGAAAAUUAUGUGUUUCAAAGGCAAAAGAUGAAGAAAUAGAAGAUUUUUAUCAGCUGCUGCAGUCUGAAAUUGAUCGAACAUUAGUCAAGAUGCAUUAAUAAUUACUGGCAAUUGGAAUGCGGAAGUUGGAAACAAAGAAGGAGGAGGAUCAGUAGUUGGAAAAUAUGGCCUUGAUGAUACAAUGUUGGAGAUCGAAUGAUAGAAUUUUGCAAGACCAACGACUUCUUCAUUGCAAAUACCUUCUUUCACCAACGUAAAUGGCAACUGUACACAUGGACUUCGCCAGAUGGAACGCACAGAAAUCAGAUUGACUACAUCUGUGGAAAGAGACGAUGGAAAAGCUCAAUAUCAGUCAGAACAAGGCCAGGUGCCGACUGUGGAAUAGACCAUCAAUUGCACAUGUGCAAGUUCAAGCUGAAACUGAAGAAAAUCAGAGCAAGUCCACGAGAGCCAAAGUAUGACCUUGAGUAUAUCCCACCUGAAUUUAGAGACCAUCUGAAGAAUAGAUUUGACAUAUUGAACACUAGUGACCGAAGACCAGAUGAGUUGUGGAAUGACAUCAAGGACAUCAUCCGUGAAGAAAGCAAGAGGUCACUGAAAAGACAGGAAAGAAAGAAAAGACCAAGGUGGAUGUCAGAGGAGAGACUGAAACUUGCUCUUGAGCGUUGAGCAGCUAAAGCAAAAGGAAGAAUUGAUGAAGUAAAAGAACUGAACAGAAGAUUUCAAAGGGUGUCUCGAAAAGACAAAGUAAAGUAUUAUAGCAAGAUGUACAAAGAGCUGGAGAUGGAAAACAAAAAGCGAAGAAUAUAUUCGGUGUUUCUGAAGUUUAAAGAACUGAAGAAAAAAUUCAAGCCUCAAGUUGUAGUAGUGAAGGAUUCCGUGGGGAAAAUAUUAAAUGAUGCAGGAAGCAUCAAAAGAAGGUGGAAGGAAUACACAGAGUCAUUAUACCAAAAAGAAUUAGUCGAUAUUCAACCAUUUCAAGAGGUGGCAUAUGAUCAGGAACCGAUGGUACUGAAGGAAGAAGUCCAAGCUGCCCUGAAGGCAUUGGUGAAAAACAAGGCUCCAGGAAUUGAUGGAAUAUCAAUUGAGAUGUUUCAACAAACAGAUGCAGCGCUGGAGGUGCUCACUCGUCUAUGCCAGGAAAUACGGAACACAGCUUCCUGGCCAACUGACUGGAAGAGAUCCAUAUUUAUGCCUAUUCUCAAGAAAGGUGAUCCAACCGAAUGUGGAAAUUAUAGAACAAUAUCGUUAAUAUCACACGCAAGCAACAUUUUGCUGAAGAUCAUUCAAAAACGCCUGCGGCAGUAUAUCGACAGGAAACUGCCAGCGCUUCAGGCCGGUUUCAGAAGAGGACGUGGAACCAGGAAUAUCAUUGCUGAUGUCAGAUGGAUCCUGGCUGAAAGCAGAGAAUACCAGAAGGAUGUUUACCUGUGUUUUAUUGACUACGCAAAGGCAUUCGACUGUGUGGAUCAUAACAAACCAUGGAUAACACUGCGAAGAAUGGGAAUUCCAGAACACUUAAUUGUGCUCAUGAGGAGCCUUUACAUAGAUCAAGAGGCAGUUGUUUGGACAGAACAAGGGGAUACUGAUUGGUUGAAAGUCAGGAAAGGUGUGCGUCAGGGUUGUAUUUUUUCACCAUACCUAUUUAACCUGUAUGCUGAACAAAUAAUCCGAGAAGCUGGACUAUAUGAAGAAGAACGGGGCAUCAGGAUUGGAGAAAGACUCAUUAACAACCUGCGUUAUGCAGAUGACACAACCUUGCUUGCUGAAAGUGAAGAGGACUUGAAGCACUUACUGAUGAAGAUCAAAGACCACAGCCUUCAGUAUGGAUUACACUUCAACAUAAAGAAAACAAAAAUUCUCACAACUGGACCAGUGAGCAACUUCAUGAUAAACGGAGAAAAGAUUGAAGUUGUCAAGGAUUUCAUUUUACUUGGAUCCACAAUCAACAGCCAUGGAAGCAGCAGUCACGAAAUCAAAAGACACAUUGCACUGUGUAAAUCUGCUGCAAAGGACCUCUUCAAAGUGUUGAAGAGCAAAGAUGUCACCCUCAAGGAUAAGGUGCGCCUGACGCAGGCCAUGGUAUUUUCAGUCGCAUCAUAUGCAUGUGAAAGCUGGACAAUGAAUAAGGAAUACCGAAGAAGAGUUGACGCCUUUGAAUUGUGGUGUUGGCGAAGAAUAUUAAAUAUACCAUGGACUGCCAAAAGAACGAACAAAUCUGUCUUGGAAGAAGUGCGGCUAGAAUGCUCCUUAGAGGCAAGGAUGGCGAGACUCCGUCUGACAUGCUUUGGACAUGUUGUCAAGAGGGAUCCCUGGAGAAGGACAUUAUGCUUGGCAGAGUACAAGGUCAGCCUAAAAGAGUAAGACCCUCAACAAGGUGGAUUGAUACAGUGGCUGCAAUAAUGAGCUCAAGCAUAACAACGAUUGCAAGGAUGACGCAGGACUGGGCAGUGUUUCGUUCUGUUGUGCAUAGGGUUGCUGUUAGUCGGAACCGACUCGACGGCACCUAACAACAAUAAAUGGAUAGAUGGAAGAAUAAAGGAAAGGUCAAAUAAAUGAGCUAAUAGCAGCUUGGUGAAGUGUGUGUGUGUGUGUUUGUGUUUGUGUGUGUUUAUUUGGGUGGAGUUCUAAAAGCAAGAGAACCCAGGGGUUCUUUGAUUCUUUGUAAAGUGGGGGAGUUGGGUAAGCUUUGUAUGGCAGAUUAUUUCAGAUUUGUUGGCUUACCUCAUCCUUCCAUCUUCUAGUAAUUAACACCACCCAAAAUUUUAUUGAAUUUUAAUUUCAGUAUUUUGUGUUAUAAAGCAGCAGAUAUAUUGGGUAUGUUUAAACUAGGAAUCACUGCUAAUGUUAAAUAUUAGUUAAUAAACAAACUUCUGUUCACUGAUGACCCUGGAUACAUUGGUCAUAUGCGUAUACAUAAACAUAGCCUCCAUGGGGUGGGGAUGGAAGUCUGUCGUGAGGACUCUGUGAGACACUCCUGCUUUCCAGGCCACCCCUAGGGGUUAGGAGCCUUAGGCUGGCGUAUCUGGGCACACAAGAGCUGAAAGCUCACCUCGCGAAAGGAUGACUCUGGGAGGUUACUGCCAUUUCUUGGUGACCAACAGGGAUUUUCAAUUGCAGUGCAGAGGCACCAUCUCAGAGGGGAACUUCACUCUGAAGGACUCCCCUGGGCAGAUGCUCCGGGACACAAGCCCGGCCAGUGUCCAGCUGUUCACUCACCCCACUUGCUUCAGGAGCACCCACAGUAAUGACACAGUAGCAGAUGCCGUCGGAAAGUUCCAGCUCCGCUACCACAGAGUCCAUUUCUUAUUUGUCAGUUUAUUGUGGCAAGUGGGAUUUUUUUGUUGUUGUUUCCAAAUAGAAACAGCUGAACUUGAUUUGAAAUGUUUUUCUUUGAUUCUUUUUUGAUCUGUGUUUUGAUCGGUUGUCUUUGAUGUGGCUUUUUUUCCGUACUGUUUUUAUUGGGGGAGGGGAAGAAUAGAAUGAGAGUCUAAACAGGGUGUUUUUUUCAGUCUUUUUUUUUUUUUGUCUUUUUUCUUCCUUUUUCUCUGUCCUUUGUUUGUAUCUAAAGGCCUGAUUUAAAAGAAAGGAAAGUUUACUCGCAUACAGAAGCCCAGUAGCUCAUAGGAGGAAUAACCAGACUAUUUUUGGCCAUAAUUCAGUGCUGAGGAAGUGUGGCGUAGUGGGAAGAGCACCAGCUGUGGGACCAGAGAGACCCGGAUUCAAGCUCUGCCACUUCUUAAAUUCUGAGCAACUCACUUAACCUCUCUGAGUUUUAGCUUCUUCAUCUAUAAAGUGAGACCUUCACCCAUAGAAUUAUGGUGAACGUGAAAUGUUACUUUAUAAGGUGCCGAGUAUAUGUUUUCUCAACAGAUAGGUGGUUCUUGUACAAAUAUCCUAUUAUAGCUGUUAAUCCCUAAAAGAAAGGUAAAUUUUUAUCUAUGGUUAUACUGUGAGCUGGUGGUAAAACUUAUAUAAUAAUAACAAUAUCGCAGAACAGAAUAGAGAGUCCACAAACAGAUUCACACAUACACCAGGACACCACUGCAGUGCAGCGAGAAAAGGGUGGCCUUUUCCAUAAGUGGUGCUGGUCCAAGUGAAUGUUCAUAAUGCGAAAAAAAAAAAAAAAAAGAAUGUUCAUAAUGUGAAAAAAAAAUGUUCAUAAUGUGAAAGAAAAAAAAAAGAACCAUGACCACUAACUCACACCAUUAACUCAAAAAAACCUCGCACAAGGUGAAUCAUAGACCUCAAUGUGAAAGAUAAAAGAACUUUUUAGAAGAAGUCAGAGGGGCAUAUUGUUGGUGUUUUGAGGGAGGCAAAGAUUUCUUAAGACACAAAAAGCCUGGGCAGAAAAUACUAACUAUAUAUAAAAGAAAGACUUUGAGAGAUGUUUGCAGUACAUACAUCUGAUAGAGAACUCAUCCAUACCAUAUAAAGGACUCCUACAAAACGAUAAGGGGAAAAUAAACACUUUGACUUUUUUUAAAGGACAGAACCUGCAAGGCAGUUUACAAAAGAGGAUAUCCAAAUGGCCAGUUCACUCCCCUUAGUCAUUAGGGAAAUGCAAGUUUAGCCCACAACAGGCAACCACUAGAUAGCCAGAAUGGCUGAUAAAAGAAUUGGCAAUACAAGUGGUGGCAAGGAGGAGAUGCCAUAUCUUGUUAGUGGAGAUGUAAAUUGGAAUAAAUCCUUUGGAAAAUGAAUUGGUGGUGUCUACAAACAAAAAAAAAUUUUUUUUUACGAACAGUAGACAUGCACCCAGCCUGUGAGGCAGCAGUUCCACUCCUGGGUGUGCCCCUGAGAGAGAUGAGUACACAGCUGUACCCGAAGACAAGUAUACAAAUGCUCAUAGCAGUACUCAUCGCCCCAGACUGGGCACAGCCUGGGUGUUCGUCAGUAGUGGAACAAGUCAAUAAACUGGUACGUUCAUACCAUGGAGUACUAUACGGCAGUGAAGAAGAGGGAAUGCCCGCCAUGUGUAACAGCGUGGGUGACUCUUACUAACGUGCUCUUGAGCAGCAGCAGCGAGGUUCAGAAAGGGUGUAUACUGUGUGGUUCAUCCACAUGCCAUUCAGCAACAGGCAGGAUCAGUCUGUGGUGACAGAAGUCAGAAUCGUGGUCAUCUUGGAGUAGUGGUGGUGGUAGUGGUUGCCUGAUGAUCCUCGUUGUUAGAUGCUGUGGAGUCGGUUCCGACGCAUAGCGAGCGUGUGUACGACAGGAGGAAACACUGCCCAGUCCCGCUCCAUCCUCAGUCGUUACUAUGCUUGGGCCCAUUGGUGCAGCCACAGUGUCAAUCCAUCUUGUUGAGGGUCUUCCUCUUUUUUGCCGACUCUCUGCUUUAUCAAGCAUAACAUGUUUCUCCAGGGACUGGUGCCUCCUGAUAACAUGUCCAAGAAUUAUGUCUGUUUUAGGAAUGAGAAAGUAAAACUCAGAGAGUUGAAGUGCUGGUCCUAGUUCUCCAGGCUUAUGAGUGGCAGGGCCAGGAUGCGAACCCAGGUCUGCUGAGCCGAAGCCUAAGCUUGCGUCCAUCCCACUGACCUCAUUCAAGUGUGUGGACGUCCCAGGGGUGGUUUAUCCACUCUCUUGCAGUGUUUCUCUCAAGUGUACUUUCUUGGGGGACAAGUGGAUCUGCAGCUGAGUUGGAUGCCAAGUCUGGACUUAAUCCUGUGAGCAUCUAGCAUGUAGUAACCACUCCAUAGAGUGUGUUGCUCUGAUUUGACCUUAGAUGUUAAUUAAGACCUAAAGGAUGCUCUUUAAACCCCUGAGCACGGAGCCAGGAACCUUUUUGGGAAAGACCAUGCCCCCAUUUCCCACUUGCUCAUCCAUUAAAAUGUCAGUCAUGUCUGUCUGUCUUCCUAUUGGAAUUCCUCUCUGACCCCCCUUCAUUGAGUUGUGCCCCUCAGUGUAGAGUUUUGCGGGCCCAGCUAUGUUGCUCUGCCGCUCCAUGAACCCAUCACCUGGGUAUGUAACUCUCCCCCAAGAGAAGUUCAUCCCAGUUGGGAUCUGUGCCACCUCACUCCACACCCUGAGUGCAUGCCCCAUUUUGGACCCCGUGGGCCUAGGGGAGUGUUACCAAAAUUUGUUUCAAGGAACAUUUGUUCUGUAAUAUAUUAAUGGCUGUUAAAUGAGAGAAGGAGCCCUGGUGGUACAGUGGUUAAGCAUUUGGCUGCUAACCGAAAGGUCAGCAGUUCCAAUUUAUCAUCUGCUCCUUGGAAACCCUAUGGGGCUGUUCUGCUCUGUCCUGUAGGGCCGCUGUGAGUCGAAGUCGACUCUGCAGCAACAGGGUUGGUGUUUCGUUAGUUUUAGAUGAGAGAAAGGUUCUAAAAAAGAGAAAACAAGGCUAGAAACUUUGUGUUAAGAGCCUCUUUGUUGCAGACUUCCACAGAGAUUUCACUGUUCUUGCAUGUGUCUUCUUGAUCCCGUUUGGGAACUCUGGGCCCUAGUGCCACAUGUUGGGGUGGGUUGGAAUUUUGGAGUAAACAGAAGCCCAGCCCUGCCCAUACUUUCUUUAGUGGAGAAUCUGCUGUGACUGCCUGCCAAGUGGCAGCCAGAGGGAGGCCAUUCAGGCCAGCAUCCUAAGCUCAGGAUUGGGGACCUGAUUAGGCCUAGAGUGGUUGUAAAAGAUACCAGCGGAGUUUCACACCAGGGGAGUGUUUACUUGUAUUCACAGAUCAGUGUGUUUCUGUUCUUCAUACCUCCCUGUCCACCUGAGUGUCCGAUACAGUAGACAGCUCGAAAAGCCUUGUGCAUGAAACUUCUCUUGAGAGAAGGACUGUCUGAUUUACUUCUGUGUCCGCAGUAGCUGACAGCUGAUAAACACUCAGUCAUCAUGGCAGGGCCUGGGGCUGGAGGACUGGGAGAUGCAUUGGUGCCACUCCCAGGCCUCUAAGAUGUGACAGGCUGCCACCAAGCCCCCACCCCCACCCCAGGUACGCAGAUGCAGGCGGUCUUCAUGUAAAGAGGCCCGUUCAGAGCAGAGAGUGGAGGAGACCUGCUUUAGAUGGCUCUGUGGUCUCCUAGCAACUGGCUCCUCGGGGCGUAAAGCAGAAAGCUGGGGUCUGAAAUAACGGAGUAAAUGGAUCUUUCACAAAAGAGCUGCGCGCCUUGUUAGGUGUCUUGGCAGAUAGAUUAUUUUAAAAUGAAAUCUUUACAGUUGUGCUCCUUCAGAUUUUGUCUAAUUUGCGUUCAGUUUUGUGCCCCUCGUUUUCUUACAUCGCUAAAACCACAGAGGCUAACACUUAAAAGUAUUGCUCCCACCCUGUAGGUUUUGUGUUGUAUUAAGAUUCCCCGAAGACUGGCACCUGGCUUGGCGUUUCUUUCUGAUGGCGGCUGUGGCUCUGGCUUCCCUGCCCUGGGAGGCGCUGUCACCCUUGGCCACUGCAUUCCUGCACAAACGCCUGUUCUCCACUGAGUGAGCCCCUGUCUCUUGGAAGUCCACGUACAGUCGGUUCUGCUUUAUUUUGUGGACUUGCACUAUGAGCAGGACUGCUUCAGGCUUGUCUUCACCGAAGUCAGAAAACGAGAGUGUUUCCCAAGGUGAGGCCAGCAGUGCCAAUGUGGGCAGUCCCCUUUGAGCCUGUACGUGGCCACUUGGCCUCGCCCUUACUCAGCCUAGGGCAGUGAACAGGGCAUGACCGUCUGUCAUGCAGGAGGUGGGGUGCAGGUGGCAAUGGGAGCUGCUGCCUCCAUUUCCCAGCUGUCCCUUGAGCAGCCUUGCUUUGAGAUGACAGCGUGGUGUUUUCUUCAUUUUAUUUCUCAGUGGUCACCUAAUGGCUGCUAUUAACGUUUUAGGACCACCGUGUAAAAUUCACCUGAAGAUAGAAAUAGCACCUUCUGCACACAUUCAUUGUCAUUAAGUCUGAUUCCUAAAACAACCAGCUUUGAUCGGCACCUCGUGGCAGGGUCACUUGGCUGGUCUGCGGAGCGUACCUCUGGACCCCAGGCUUUGAUGCGCUGUCACUGGCUUCCCUUCACACCAGAGAAACGCUUACCUGUAUCUGCUGGGAAUACAGAGGGUCGCCGGGAAGACACAUUAGAAGUCCAUCUGUAAGUGGUUCACCGUAAUAGGCUUUCAUAAGAGUUGUAAGUUUACUAUUCCAAGAGUAUAUUUUUAAUUUUGAAACUACAAGAAAGUAUAUGAGAUGUUUGUUUCACGAAAUCAUUUCCUCAAACUGUGUGAUUACAUAGUAGCAGUCCUGCACACCUCCCAGCUCUCCCUAGCACCAUGUAACUGAGAGGAUGAGGAGAAGCUUUGCUCGUUCUUGGCCCUGUGCUUCAGAACCUCGUAUCUGAUGUGUACGAUUGGACGAUAAAGCGAUGAGCCUCAGUCAGCCUCAAAGCUGCAUGCAGGGCGGCUCCUCCCAGCGCUGCCUCUUGGGGUUGAGGCUGCACCCGGAUCCCAGCGGCCCCAGCCGUGUACGGAGCUCUGCAGGCUCCUCCAGAGGUGCGUUCUACAGAGUCCACCAGCCACAGGAAGUGCUUUUAUUGCUUCACGAUGACAUCUCACUUCUAGCCCCAGACAGUGUCACCAAGCUGCAGCUUUGACUGAGUCACGUCAGUAGCCCCAUCGGCAAAGCAGUCCUCAAAGAGCCGAGAUCUCGUUUGCUGAAAUUCUGCUUUCAAAAGAGCUGGCCAUAUUCGGAAUGCAAGGAAGUGCAUGAAAGCCUCCCUGGCACGUGGUCUCGGCUUCGUAAAUGCUAUUGUUGUUAUUUAGAUGUUUAUAUUUUCUGCCAAAGUUAAUUAUUUGCCUGUUUUUCUUUUUGCAUUAGUGUUAUUUCUUAAAAAGAGCAGAGAUUUUUGGAUAUGCAUAGGAAGUAUAUAAGUUUUUUUUAUUGCCAUACUUGAACACCAUUGCCACACAGAGAUAUGUACCUUGUAAGCCACUUGAGAGGGGGUACCCGGAGCUUGGCCCAGGGAAACAUUUUCCAGGUAGCCCUGCCUAAUGUCAGUAUUUUUGCCUAAAGCGACCUUGCAAAUUUAGCUGUGAUAGAGAAGGGUCUGGUCAGAACACUGGUGUUCAGUGGGCUCUCUUUGGCUUUUUUUCUGAGGUCGUGGUUUUUAGCAGGAAGCAUUGUAGUCUCUGCACCACUUACUAGGACUAGCAGUGGGAAGAAAAAAAAAGUCUGCUGGGCGAGUGUUUGAUUCUACAAGGAAGACCUCCUUUGGCACUCAGUGAGCAGGCACUCCCUAAGUCGAGCAAGUGAAAGGCACCAGUGUGGAGCCCUGUGACUGCUGAGCUAGGACAGAUGAAGCCCCUGCUCCCAGCCCAGCUGGGGAAGAAGACCCAUCAGCACACUUAAAAGAACAAGUGCCCAGGGCUGGGUGGAGCGAGCCUGGCCUGCCUCUGGAUCUCUGCGGUACACGGCUUUGACUCUAAGGAACUGAAAGGAAGCACAGAGGCCGGCUUUCCACCUGGAGUUGAGCACUUCCUCAGGAUAAGACUGGGUGCCCAGAAGGAAGGGAAACCUCUGGUUGCUUCAGGCUUUCCUAAUCUAGUGGUUUUGUAAGUCCGCAGACAUCCCUUCACCGAGAUGGUUAAAAACAGAAAACAUGAAAAUAAACCAAACUUUGAAAUGUAUGCCCCUUUCAAACUCUUAGCAUCCUUAGGGCUGAAAGCCUCUUCUGAGGCUUACCGUGCACUCCCGACCCGUGGCAGUGGCCCUGUAGCCAGGCUGCGAGCCUGGAUGCAGCCGGGACUCAGCUGGCUCCGUUUCCAGCAGGGCAGUGUGUUGUGAGCUGCUGGGAAAGGCUGUUUGGGGUGUGCUGGUGGUGCUUGUGUGCUAUCAAGUCCACUCUAACUCAGCAACCCUUAUGAGGCACAAUAGGACUGCCUCCUAGGGUUUCCUAGGCUAUAAUCACUACUGGAGCAGAUUGCCUUGUCUUUUCUUCAACAGAGCAGCUGGUGGGUUUGAACCACCAACCUCUUGGUUAACAGUAACAGCCAGAUGCUUAACCAUUGUACCACCAGGGUGCCUUUGGGGUGGGGGUGGGCAGGCCACGUGCUGUGAAGAACCUCCUCGGGGAACGGCGGCCUGGAGACAACAGAGCCGGGAGGGGCUGCCUUCUACAGUGACGGUCCAAGCCUGCAGUUGAGAUUUCUCAUAUGAGUUUGGUGAUUCUGGCUUCCACCAGAGUCUUCCCUUCAUUUUUGGUACGUGGUCUGCUUUUGGAGCCCUUGUGGUGCAGUGGUGAAGAGCUAUGGCUGCUAACCGAAAGGUCGGCAGUUGGAGUCUACCAGCUGCUCCCUGGAAACCCUUUGGGGCAGCUCUACUCAGUUCUGUAGGUCGCUACGUGUCGGAAUCCAAUCCACUUAAGCAGCAACGGGUGUGGUGUGCUUUGUUUGGCCUACUUUGACAUUUUCAUGGAAGCUCACAAAAGGCUGACGUGGUUAAAUGCAAAUAGACAUCUGCACUUUCUGAUUAAGAGUGGGAACGUUAGAAUCAAAGCACUUUUAGAUGCUAGCGAGCUCUUAAUUCAGGUGUUUGCUCUGCCCGUAGUCAGGAAGCAUCAGAAAAUCUAGUGGGUGUUCAGGAGGAAGAUGGUCGUGCACAUCCCUAGCCUCCUCCUCCUGUGCUCCUGAUGCAGAAGAGGACUGCACAGCAAGGCAGAUACCUGGGCUGGAAAUGCGCUGUGCGUCUUAGUUACUGAGGCUAGACCCUCCACGAUUAGGGAGAGUUUUGGAGACUUCAACCUGGUGCCUUCGAGUCUGUUCUGACUCGUAGUGACCUUGUAGCACAGAGUAGAACUGCCGCAUAGGGUUUCCAAGGCUGUAAACUUUACAGAAACAGAUGGCCACAUCUUUCUCCCGUGAAGUGGCUGGUGUGUUCCCACUGUUGGCCUUUUGGUUACCAGCGGAGUGCUUAAGCACUGCUCCACCAGGGCGCCGUUUGGGACUUAAAAAACCAAAAACCAAACCCACUGCCAAGUCAACUCCAAUUCAUAGCGACCCUACAGGACAGAGUAGGUCUUCCCCGUAGUGUUUCCAAGGCUGUAAGUUCUUACGGAAGCAGAAUGCCAUGUCUUUCUCUCUCAGAGUGGCUAAUGGGUUCAAACCGCUGACCUUUCAGUUAGCAGCCAAGCGAUUUAACCACUGAACGGGGACUUAGGGGGCAGUACUGCUUAGCAUUAUCUAGUUGGUGGAGCCCUGGUGGUACAGUGGUUAAGAGUUCAGCUACCAAUUGAAAGGUCAGCAGUUCGAAUCCACCAGCUGCUCCUUGGAAACCCUUUGGGGCAGUUCUGCUCUGUCCUGUAGGGUCGCUUUGAGUCAGAAUCGAAGACAAUGGGUAUCUAGUUGGUAGAACUUAGGAACUUCAUUUGGCAAUGUACGUCAAAUUUCAAGUCUCGGCUCAGUCAUCAUCCUAAUUUUAAAAAACUCUAUUUUGAAAUAUAGCAUGCAGAACAAAAAUUGAAAACAAUAAAAAUACACAAUUUACAAAUAAUUAACAGAGCAAACAUCCUGUUAACCAGCACCAAGUAAAGAAAUAAAACUCUGCCAGGCUACCUUGCUCUCAGCCCGUCCCCAUGAAAGUACUGCAUAGCCUGCUUUUGGGGGCAGGCAUGUCCUUGCUUUUCUCUAGCAUUAGCGCCUGUACCUGCCCACCUAAAACUGUAUACUUUGGGUGGGCCGCUUUUGAAAUUCAUAUAAAUGGAAUCAUAGUUUCUAUUAUUUUGCCUUCUAUAACUCAAAGUCCCCUAUUGUGAAAUUCAUCUAAGUUGAUGCGUGUAGUCUACUGUAUAGUAAUCCAUUGUAAGAAAAUUUAACGUUGUGUAUUCAUUCUGCUGGAGCCCUGGUGGUAAAGGGGUUAAGCAUUCAGCCGCUAACUAAGAGGUUGGCAGUUCAAAUCCACCAGCCGCUCUUUGGAAACCCUAUGGGGCAGCUCUGCUCUGUCCUAACAGGUCACUGUGAGUGGUGGACAUUGGUACUGUUCAUGGGUCCUGGCACACAUGUGCACGAGGUGUUCUCCUAGGAGUAGAAUUUCUGGGUCUUAGGGCGUGUGUGUCUUCAACUGUAUUCUAGAUAAUGCUAAACUCGUUGUCGUUGAGCCAAUUCCCACUCACAGUGACCUCAUAGGACAAUAGAACUGCCCCAUUGAGUUUCCAAGGCUGUAAGUCUUUACAGAGCAGGCUGCCACAUCUUUAUCCAAGGAGCGGCUGGUGGGUUCAAACAGCCUACAUUUUGGUUAGCAGCCUAGCGCUUAAUCACCGUGCCACUAGGGCUCCUUAGAUAAUUCUAAAGUGUUGUCAAAAGUGGUUGUACUGACUACAACCAAAGACCGUGUGACAGGGAGCACGACAGAGAAUCCCUGAUGGAGCAGGAGAGCAGUAGGAUGCAGACUUCAAAUUCUUGUAAAAAGACCAGACUUAACGGUCUGAUUGAGACUAGAAGGACCUGAGAGGUCAUGGUCCCCAGACUUUCUGUUAGCCCAAGACUGGAACCAUUCCCAAAGCCAGCUCUUCAGACAGGGAUUGGACUGGACUUUAAGACAUAAAAUGAUACUGGCGAGGAGUGAGCUUCUUGGCUCAAGUAGACACAUGAGGCUAUGUGGGCAGCUCCUGUCUGGAGGGGAGAUGAGAGGGCAGAGGGGGACAGGAGCUGGCUGAACAAAUACGGGGAGUACAGGGUGGAGAGGAGGAGUGUGCUGUCCAUUGGGGGGGAGGAGCUAGGAGUGCAUAGCAAGGUGUGUAUGAAUUUUUAUAUGAGAGGCUGACUGGGUUUGUGAACUUUCACUUCAGGCGCAAUAACAAAAAACGUGGUUGUGCUGAUUCACACCCCCGUCAGCUGUUUGAGAGGUGAGGUCCCUUGGCUUUAUAUUCUUGCUAAUGCUUGAUGUUGUCACUUUGUAAUUUUUGCUGUUCUCAGGAGCAGAUAUGUCAUUGUGUUUUUAAUUUCUUUAAUUGUUCAGCACAUUUUUAUGUUUCUUGAUGAUUUUGAUUUUCUGUUUUCUGAAGAAACCAUUGAAGUUUUUUGCCUGUGUUUUUUAAUUAGUUGAUUCAUAGGAGUUCUUUCUAUAAGCAAGAUACAAGGUCUUUGUUCAGUUACAUGUGUUGAGAGAGUCUCUCACAACCUGUGGCUGGAUUUUUACUUUCUUUGUGGUAUUUUCUUUAUUAUUGUCAUUCACUGAGGCAUAAAGUGCAAAGAUUUUAAAAGUAUGUCUCAACCGUGUAUACACCCAUGUAACUGUCACCCAGAUAAAGACAGAAGACCUGUCAGUCACCCUGGAAGGCUCCUCGUGCCCCUUCUCAGUCAGUACCAGUCCACAGAGUUAACCUAGUUCUGACUUCUGGCCUGUGCUGUUCUGAGUUCCUAAGUGUGAUGUUGUCAGAUGGAUCCGUCUCCGUCUGUGGUUAGUGCUUUUGGUGUCUUUCUGAGGACGCUGAGGUCAUAAAGAAUAAUCCGUAUUUUCCUAGAAGAGCUUUAUAGCUUUGCCUUUCCCGUUCAGAUGUCUAUAACCAGCAGAAGCGAUUCCUGAUUCAUGGUGUACAGUCGGGCACAGUUUCUUUGUUUCCCCAGUGAUUAUGCAGCUCUCCACCCACACCUCUGUGGGACUGCCUUUGUCGUAAGUCAUCGUCCUUACAAGUGUGAUUCUUCUGGCUUUCUCUUCUCUUUUAAGUAUGUUGGUCCCUGCACUGAUAACUGCUUUAUCUUAAUUCUUGUGACUUUGUCAUCUGGCUACCUGGUGGAGCAGAUGUCCAGUGUUGAGCCAGCCUCGCGUACCUUUCCUGUAUCCUCCUGUUUGUUGCUGGAUUACUUCGCUGAUGUCAGUCAUCCAUCAGCAUGUGUUCAGUGAGUACUUGCGGUGGUAUGUGGUGCAUAUUGUCCUAGCUGCUGGGAACACAGGUCACCCAAAAGAGACACUGUCUCUGCUCUCAUGGUGUUAGACUUGGAGACAGGGGCUAAAGUUACCCAGAUGAAUGCACCAUGGCCUUACCUCAGGAAAUGCCUCCUGUGCCCUGCACGUGCUGGCACACAAUCUCUAGGGACUGCCACCUGUCCUGUAUCCUUAGCUCCCUGAGGGGGGAAACAUGGGCUUCACCUCUUUCCCUGUAGUACCUGGCAGGGAGUGUGAGAGCAGCAGCAGCCUGGAUAGAGCUCAUCUUCUCCCCCACUCCUCACAGCCAUGCCUGUGUCUUCCCCGUUCUUCCUGUUUUCCCUCGAAGCACAGGACCCUCCUUUCCCACCAAGGCUCCACGCUCCCCCCCCACGACUGCAGGUACCGCUCAUCUGAAUAGAAUUCCUCCCCAUCGUCAUCCGCGCUGGGCUAACGCCUUCUUGGCCUUCAAGCCUGGCUUUAAGUGCCGUUUAUUCAAAGGGAAUCUUCCACAAUCUCACCUCCAGCAGGGCCCCCUCUUACUGUUCAAACUUAUCCUGUAAUUGAGCAUCUUAGCCGUUAUAACGGUUUGUAAUUAUGCAUGUGUUUCUUGCGACCGAGUUCAUCUUGCUGACUGGGCAUCAGGUGGGGGGCCAGCACAGGAUCCUUCACAUGGUGGACACCUACUGAAUCAACCUAUGAGUGUGUACACACACCACCUCCUCUUCCUCCUCCCCUCCCCCUCUGUGGUGAUGACCUUCACUUGCCAUGCCGUAGUUACAAAGUGGCAAAGGGGCGAAGGAGGAAACUCUAAGAAAUGUGUCAUAGCUAGUGGAAACUGCCCGUGGCGUCAGAUUGUGGUUGGGAAACGGUUCUUAGAAGAUAUGUUAAACAAUUCACGUAUCUCUAGGGCCAUGCUGGAGAACAAACGGUGUUGAUAACUGAAUUGCUAGGCAGGGGUUUUUAAUCUGUCGACAGAGGUGAUGUGGCCUGGCUUUAUCUUUGACACCCAAAAUCUUCAGCUCAACGUUGUUGACUCAUAAAUGAGUCCUAAUUGAUAACAAAGCUAACAUACUGAGUACCUCUUUCAUAGCAGGUAGUGGGUUUUUUUAUUGUGAUCCUGUUUAAUCUUCAUGGCCACUCUAUGAAAUAUAUACUUUUAUUAUCCCCAUUUUGUAGAAAAGGAAAUGGAAGCAAGAAAAAUUUGGUAAGUGGCCUCAACUAGCCGCAGGAAUAACAGUUUGAGCCUGGACCUUCUGCCUCCAGGGACCAGGAACUUGGCCUUUGUGCUUUACUGCCCUUUGACAUAGUGAGAGAUCAUUUGUCUCUGCUCGUUGUACGGAUGAGGAGACUGAGGCCAAGAGCAGUGAGGCCGUAGGCUGCUGGGCUUGGGAGUGGAGCUGUGGCUGAAGGAGCCUGAGCCUGCAGCCUGCCCAGGGCUCUGAGCUGGAGCUGGGGCUACCGAGGCUCAGAUGUGGGUGUAUUAUGACAGCUGCCAUGCCAGCCCCGUGACAAGCAUCUUGUGUAAUCCUUACAUGGGACCUGUCCAUGUUCACAAGUGAGGUUGUAGAAAGUUGUACAGCUUGUGGAAUGGCAGGACUGGAAUGUGACCCCAGGCCUGUCCUACUCCCAGAUCUUACUCUCACCGCUAGGACUCCUAGCCGGUCCCCUUUCCAUGCUUGCCUCUCUCCAAACUACCCUGCACACAGCUACCUAAGAGAGCAUCUGGAUUUCUCUACUGCAGCCCUUUCAGUGGGCUCUCAUUGUAUUAGAAUAAAAUACAAACUCCUUUAAAAAAAAAAAAACCUGAUGUUGUGGAGUCGAUUCCAACUCACAGCGACCAAGUAGAACUGCCCCGUAGAGUUUCCAAGGAGCACCUGGUGGAUUCCAACUGCCAGCCUUUGGUUAGCAGCUGUCGUACUUAACCAAUACACUACCAGGGUUUCCACAGACUCCUCAGUGUACCCUAAAUGUCUGGCCUUCACCUGCCCCUGCCUCAUUCCCUAGCUCUCUCUUCCGCGCAUUCUUCUCCAGUCAUGCGGGUUUCUCCUCGUGGUCUCUUGUGUUACUUGAGGCUUUGGCAUAUCUGCCCCCCGCCUGCGGCUGACUCCCUCAGCUCUUCAGAUGACUGGUGUCCAUCACUCGGGUCUUGGCUCCAAUGUUACCUCUUCAGAGAGGCCUUCCCUGGCCUCCCAUGUCUAACACAUAGUUCUGUAAUCAGUGUUCAUCAUACCACCGUGUCAGCUUUGCCCGUUGCUUCAGUGCCCGCCUCCUACUGAACUGUAGUUCCCUGUCCUGCCAGGUGCUUCGUCUCCAGCGCCAAGCUUAGGGCCUUGUGAUCUGCCGGGUGAGUGGGUUCCAUUAAAGUCUAGCGAGACACGUGAAUGUGUGAUUCACGGUUUAAGGUUUUGUUUAUAUGUAAUUCCUUGCUCUUAACAAAAAUUCCAGUAUAAGUGUCAACAAGCAUGUUGUUGCUAGAGAAGAGAAAAAAAUGUUAAAGGAUUAAAUUUCUAAGAUUGAAUGAGAAUCUCCCCCCCCCUUCCCUUCCGCCAUGCCGCAAAGUGAAAUAGCCAACAGCUCUACAGAAGUUUUAAGGGGCAGAUGUGCCGGGGCUUUAGAAGCUGACGUCACCGCCCUGAUGAACUUGGCUUUUAAAUAGCCUCGUGCUGUUAUUGGUCUUCAUUUCCAGUUCCUGUUGGAGCUGUUCGCAGGGUGUGCAUUUCUACCGGGGGUUGUCCUGCUGAAAGUGGACACGGCAGAGCCCCUGGUUCGAUGAGGAUGGGCUGGAGUUACGGGUGUCCGUGUUGAAAGGAGGAGAAGAGAGAGUGCUCAGCCCCGAGUCACCUGUCUGAACAGGAGGGAAGCAGACAGUACCGAAUGAGGACAGCCACCCUCCCCGUUGACCCUGCAGCACAGAGGUGCCUUUGGUGAAGGCCCCACCUCCACAUCUGGGCCUGUUCCAACACAUGGGCCGCCCCGACUCCUGACUUGCUGGGAGAUGUCUGGGUGGGGAGGGGUGCAAGGGAGAAAGGGUGAAGAGGCAAGCAGCACGGCCUUGGGGACCUGUAGAGCAGACCAUCCCCAGGUGACUGGUGACACCUGGCCAGGACAGUGGUAACAGGCACGCAGGAUGAGAAGGGAGCCUGACUGCCGUAUCUGCUGUGACUUGUUUAUUCCAGAACCCGCCUGAAGUGCCACAUGUUUGUGUUCUUUUAAUCCUUCAUGCCUUAGAACUGUUUUUGACCCUUGGCUAUACUUCAUUAAUUUUGAGAUGUCAUUAGUGCUAGACCAACACUAAUCUUCUAUAAUUUAGAAGGAUUACUUACUUUUUCCACUCUGAAUUUGAGUUCCAUUUUGCACUGUUAGUUCAUUAGCUAGUUCCCGAUAUCGUCACACUAACUGGUAUCUGUAAGCUUAUUUUAUCACUUAGGAUUUCUUUGAAGAAAAAGGGGCCCUCUUUCUAUUAUCAUCAGGCCUGGCGCACAUUUUAUUGACUGGUGGCCUUCAGGGCAACCAGGAGGAAGGCCUGCCCUGCCACUCCUGCUCCGGUCUCUCGGCUGACUGCACUCGCUGGACAGUGCUUGGAGGCAGGGGCACAGAGGGCGGGUGCUGGCCACGAUGCCACAUCCAAACCCUGGCUCAGCCAAUUCCAAGUCGUGUGGCCUUGGACGCUUACUCAGCCUCCUGUGUCUUGGUUUUCUCAUCUGUAAAAUGAGGGUGAUAUCGUCUACCACGUAAGACUUUUGUAAGAACGUAAUGCUUACAUGAAGUGCUUAGGAUAGCACCAGACACAUGCUCCAUCUUAGCACCAGCGUGACAGGUGCUGCUGUUGUUUUUAUUAAUAGUUUUGUUGGUGUUACGAUCUGCAGAUAAACUGACAGCCCACGCGUGCCCGAGAGACAUUCUUUGUACGAAGCUUUGCCUGCAUCGAUGGUGGUAGUGUACUCUGUGAACAGCGACUGAUUUGAGCCAGCUUGUUAUUUGAUAAUCCCUGUAUCCCAGAGAGUGUGGAUACUUUAUAAGCAUCCUCUCGUCUGGCAGAUGGGGCCUUGAGCUAACUGAGUGUUUCUGCUGUGCUUCCAUCAGCCUCCCUUACAAAUUCCUGUGUCACUGGGCUCCAGGUGACCUGAGAGGCCCCACUACAGCCUCUUCUUCCGCCAUCUUGGCAGUGGAGCUCAGCCAGUGCACUUCCUGGUGGCGAGCCUUGGGUUUGGGUGGAAGCCCUGGGGCAGUAAGCUUUUUUUAGGAGGUGACUGUCCCCAGAAUGCCGCCUCCCUACCCGGCAGGAGGGCCAGCGUUGUGUAGUGCAUGCACUGUGUCGUAUUUUGCAGCCCAGAUCUAGUGGCAACUCUCCUUUAAGGAGGCUGAAGCCAGGCACCAAGGUGACAUUCACCCAGCACGUACUUAAAGUGUGCCUCCUUGUAUGUGUGUCAGGAGACACAAAGACGAAAAGUAGGUGUCCAGCCCAUAGGUGUGCGAGCUUUCCCCAGGAGGAGCUGGAGAAGUGACACGAGGGCAAUGCAAGGAGAGAAGUGGUGUGAUGGAGGCUGUGUACAGGGAGGAGGGACCCUAGGGGCCGUGAUGGAGGCUGGGUACGGGGAGGAGGGGCCCUCGGGUGUGAUGGAGGCCGGGUACGGGGAGGAGGGGCCUUGAAAGGUAGGCUCUAGAGGAGUUGCUGGUGCCACCACCAUUGAGCUCCUGCUACCUGUAGGUGCUCUGCUAAUCAUGUUCUAAGCAUGUACUAAGCGGUUCCCCUAGGAGCCUCCACCGUGACCUUGGAGCAGAGUCUGCUGUGUGCUCAGUUACCCUGCCGCCCCAGAUACAAAUGGAAUGACUCCAUGGCCCCAAAGCCCUUUGCUGUGGUUUGAGUCAGAAGUGGUCUUGGCUGUUUCUGAUCCUGAAACCUGUUGUGUGACAUCAGUGCCAGACUGUGACUGCUGUGUGCCACGCUUCCUUUCAAGUGGUCAGUAAAGUGAUUCCAGAAUAUGCCAUGGACAAAAUUAGUUUCAGUGCUUUGGGCUCUUUACCACCAAAACACCCCAUGGAUGUGAGGUACCUGCGAGUGCGGCCAUUGCGCGGCCACUGCGCGGCCACAGAGCCUUUGGAGUGGGAAGUCCUUGCGAUGACUCCAUCUGGGCAGGGCAGGGCAGGAAGUGAUCAUCUUCCCAUUACUUCACUGCAGAACUGACAGCUGCCCGGCAGCCACAGUUACUCGCUGCUAAUCUUAGUGCUGUGCUUUCUCCAUCUGGGACUUGUAAAGGCUGACCAGUCAGGGUCGGGCCCAGGGCGGGUGGCUGCAGCAGCACUGCAGGGCCGUCCCUGCGGCCCUCGCCCACGGGAGCACACUGAGGAAACUGACGUUGUGUAAGACGGAAAGAUGGUUCAGGCAUCACACCUCCUUUCUCUCCCCGGAAAAAAGGUCAGUUUAUAGAAAGUAAACUGCAUAGCAGGGACGGUGAGCGUGGCCUUUAGGGCAGGGUCACAGAGAGAGUCCUGAUUUGGGUGAUGCCCAGAGAUAGAGUUGCUCUAGUUGACAAAACUCAGCAGGGUUCUCUCUCGGGCCUUGGGACCAUUUCCUUUAACCUUCCGUUUCCCUGGAAUAUGGAGGCCAGGAUGGCAGCCUCAGCUUUUAGAAUGGGUUUCUGAGAUGACAUCGGCCUCCGUCAAUCUGAAAGCUUUUCCUCCUCCUUGUAGCAUGUGUCAUACACAGUAUUAGGUUAUGUUCCUCAGAUGGUGACCUAUGAUGUACAGAUCCCCACCCUCUUCUGUUAGUGUGUGUUUUCAGCCGCUUUCAGUAUCAGCAAUUAGCCAUUAACUGAUAAAUUAGAGGGUGCACACGCACAGGGCUUCAGCUGGUGUUUUCAGUGCCAUCAGGAUAUACCAUGCUACAGGCCACAGGGCAGCAGACUCAGCCCUGCGCGGUAGCACUGAACCACAGAUGCUCCCUCAUGUUAAAAUACAGAACGCGGCGGGAAACUGGAUACCAAAUAGCCCAACAGUUUGGAGGAGGAAGAGGGAGCCCCGAUGGGUGGUUGGUGGUGGUACUGAACGUGCACCGGCUCCCGCGCAUCGAGCCCCUCUGUAGCAUGUGCACAGACUCCCGCUGCAGUUUUCUGAAUGAGAGAGCAUGGUGCUUAACUCCGUGACGUAAGUGAGAGCUGAGAGUAAGAGCUGUUUGUAACUGCCAGGGACAGAAGCAAAGUGAACUUGAAAAUGAAAACGAGUUAAUCUGCGCAGGCUAACUUUGUGGCACUUUGUAAAGGAACAGGGACAGCGUUUUUCAGUUUUAUUCCCCCACAGAGGCCUCUGUUCAGUCCCACCCACCCCCACUCACUUGUGAUUUGUGGGUUCUUGCCCUUUGCUGCCCAGGGCACAGUGCUGUCUUAGCCGCCAGAGCAUCUCCUAGUCAUGAGCGCUUUCCUUCAGUGAAACCGGGGGUCCUGCGGCUGUGGGGUUGGAAAUGCCUUUUUCUCUCUCUCUCUCUCUCAGAAAGCAGACACUUAGCAGGAUGGAGGGACAUGGCAGCCAUGUGGUGGUAGGACUCUUGUGAGACUGGGCCAGAGAACUGGGCCCACUGGGGGACACGUCACUGACGCCACGUGAGUCCUCGGACAGUACAUGAGCGAGGCAGGGUGUCAGAGCAGGGAGAGGAACCUGUCAGGCCCCACUCUGCGCUGUUUUCCUUGGCUGCCGGCAGCUGGCUUAUUUACAGGUAUUUUGGUUUUCAGCAAUGGAAAGCAUUUUCAGAACAAUUUUAAAACUGAACUAUUCUGUACUCUGAAAAAAUUCCUCAAGGUAAUAGUUUAGAUAUGGCAAAAGUAUUUAGUAAGUAUACUCCUUUGGGGAAAACCUUGUCAUAACAUGGAAGACAAUUACAUGGCUUUGUGAAAGCCUGGUGAAUUUGGUUUGCCUAGUACCAAAUGUCACGGCCUCAGGCCAGCUCUGUAAAGGUGCGUAAUGCAUGCUCUGCGCCCUGCUAAGGCUCACAGCACAGAGAUCCCCUGCCUUCACUGGCUUUUUUCUCUAAAAUUAAUGUUUAAAAAUAUAUCCUGGAAACAAGAAUCAAAUGUAAACCAAACCCACUGCCAUCACGUUGAUUCCUACUCACAGUGACCCCUUCGGGUUUCUGAGGCUGUAAAUCUCUACAGAAGCAGACUGCCACGUCUUUCUCCCACGGAGCCGCUGGUGAUUCUGAACCACCAACCUUUCGGUCAGUAGUCAAUGGCUCUAACCACUGUGCUGCAUGUAUGUACAGAUACGUAUCCUGAAGAGUUAGUAUAGAACAUUCUUAACGUAUUUAAAUUGUUUCAAAUAAUUUGAGUGCUUUCAGUGCCAGUACUUUUUAAAGUUUUAUUUAUUCAUUCAGCAAAUUGAGUGGCUUCCAUGUUCUAGGCCAGAGGCUGGCAAGCCUCUUCUGUAAAGAGUCACGUAGAAAGUGUUGGAGGUUUGCCAUCCAUGCGGCCACUGCCUCAGCAACUCGGCCCUGCCCUUGUAUCGUGAAAGCAGCCGUGGACAGUAUGUAGCGCAAUGCGUGUAGCCGUGUUCCAGUGAGACUUCAGUAUGGACACUGAGAUUUGAAUUUCAAAUAAUUUUCACCUGUCACAAAAUAGUAUUUUUUUUCUUAACCAUUUAACAAUCUAAAAACCAUUUUUAGCUUCCAGCCAUGCAGAAACAGCCAUCGUUUGCUGACCCCUUUCCUUGGCAGUCCUCUAGACACUGGAGGGUAGUGGGCAGAACCAGGCCCCUACAUUCCAGUAACCUGCAGGACUUUAAACCCCAUUGAUUUAAUAGCUGAAAGAAUAUUGCCUUUAGUUAGGGGGAAUCUGUCUCAUCAGCGGAUUCCAGUUUUAGGCUUUUAGUUCACCUGACUUUACCCUAAAGGUGAGUUUGGCCCAUAAAUCUGCUUACCAGUAACGAGCUUGUCCUGAAGUAUCUCUUCCAUAUGGUGUCAUUUCCCAGCUAACAUUUUUCUAUCUCCCGGUGUCUGGUCACCUAACUUGCACAAGGCAUUCAGACUUGCACCUCAGUCUUUGAAAACCCCGACAUAAGUCUUUAAAGCCUCGGAGGAAAUGGCGACUCACUUUCCUCUUCCCAGCACCCCUUGGGGUGAUCAUUAAAGCCUCCCUGGUCUUGGGGUCCUGUGUCAGAGAUGCGGGAAUGCUGUGGAGCGCGCUGAGCCCAUGGGACCCUGCCGCUGGUGCCAAGUGCAGGGCUUCUGGGCAAUUUUGCAACAAACAGGCUCACGCCUUCUAUUUGUAGUCACUAUGGAAACGUUAGAAGCUCUCUUUGUAAAGCUAAGCACACAAUGAAGCGCUUCAAGUGUUGGUAGGAUUAGACUUGAGAAGAUGUUUAAUUUUCUCCCCCACUCUUUCUUUCUUUCUGUCUUUUUAGAUAGGGAACAAGAGGGCGAUGUGAAUAUUAACUGGAACUUGCUUUAAUCUCCCUGUGACGCUUAGGGCUGCUGGGGUCCCUGCCCGCCAUCUGGGGUCUUGGCCUCUCACAGCACUGACAAGGGAGGUCAUCCAUAUUCAUGACCCAGGGAUGGGGAGCUGUGAGGGGCAGUUCUUCAGAGCCGGGUUUUCUUUGCAACUCAAAUUGCGUGAAAGGAACAACUUAAAAAAUGAAGUCCAAGCCCGAGACAGCAGUGCCAAGGUAUUCUCAUUGGACAUAGGGACAAGCUAGAGUGCCCUUGUGUGGUGUUUAAUUUGUACGUAGAUGACACAAACGCCAGAGCGUAGAGAGGGUGGAUGACCCACACCUGCCCCAGGAGAGGGUAUGCAGACACGUGAUUCUAACUUCCUGAAACAAGCCCUCCUUAGGAAAGGAAUGAAAACUCAUAACAUGUAAGGAUGUUAAAUACACAGUUAAGUGAAAAACGUUGGGGGUUUUGUUACUCAUUUAGUUUCCUUUUUUCGUAUAAUUUACUUUUUGCUGAGAAUAUACACAGCAGAACAUACGCCAAUUCAACAGUUUCUAAACGUGCAAUUCAGUGACAUUCACGUCGUGCAACUGGUGUUGCCCUCCCUUUCUGGGUCGUUCCUCCCCAGCUGACAGAAACUUGCCGCCUCCUGAGUUUCCUAUCUGAUGUUUCAAGUUGCCGUUGGCUGUUUGAUCCCAUAUAGAUAGAUCUCAGAAGAGCACAAUGAUCAAGGCAGACAUUCCUUACUAGUGAAGCUAAAUUGUUUGGUUUAAAGACUUCAGGGAAUAUUUUUGGUUUGAAGUUUAAAGAUUAUCUCAGGACAAUAGUUUCAGGGGUUGUUCUAGCCUCCAGAAAGUCUGGAUUCCAUGAGAAUUUGAAAUUCUGUUCUGCAUGUUCUCCGUUUUGAUCAGGAUUCGUCUGUAGAAUCUUUGAUCCAAAUGUUCAGUAAUGGUGACCGGGCACCGUCCCGUUCUGGUCUCAUGGCCGGAGGCGGUUGUUCAUGGAGGCGAUCAGCCACACAUGCUAUUGCCCUCCCCUAUUCCUGACCCUCCUCCUUCCUCUGUUGGCUCCAAGCAAAUAGAGACCAAUUGUUUUACCUUGGAUGGGUGCUUGCGAGCUUUUAAGACCCGAGGCACUAUGCAACAGACCAGGAGAUAGGAGCACUAAACACAAUAUUAGACCAAUUAAUCAUUUUUCUUAUUUCUGUCGUUGAGGGUACUGAGCAGGAGUUGACCCUGAUGUGGCCUUGUGACCGUAGUUCUUCUCAACCCUCCCAUUCCCCUCGACUUCACCUCUUUUUGCCCUUUGAAGAUCAGCUUUGGAAAAAAAAAGACAAAAAGGUGUUUUCUUCUUUAGACUGCAGUGCCUCUUCUGUCAGGUUGUCCCUUUGGUGGCUAUGCCAAGAAUCCGCUCCUUGUGAAAUCCUUGACAGUCAUGGUUGGUUUGUGAUAUAGGCUGCCUGAACACUGACAGGCGCUCGGACUGCCAUCUUGGCUGUGUACAGACUAUUGCUGAGCGAGGCCCCUGGGGCAGACAGACUGUCCCAAGGGACACUGAUACAUGCCUCUUACUCACAUACAAAAUGGGGGUCAUGUGAGUUCUUUGCCUACAGAAACUAGCUGCCAGGCACUCAAAGGGUGAGUUGCUGUUCAAAUACCAAGCGAACAGUAUUUCAGAGCGUGGGAUAAGAGUGCUGCCUCCCACAGAUGAACGUAGUUAACAGCCGUCCUUUCGUCCUGUCCAUGUGGCAUGCUCCUGGUGUUUUGUUGUCACGUUCCUUUUAUUUACACAGUCCAGCUUGCUCUCCUGGUUGCAUUUACGAGGGUUUACUUUCAUUUGAUUUCUCAGCUCUGCAGAGCCCUGAGUCAGGAAACCACGCUGAGGACGAGAAGGAAAAGCCCACGCCUUUGUGGGUCCCUGCAAUUCCCAAGGCCCCACCCAUGAGGCAGGUGGGAGGCCCGGCCAUCCAUUUGUAUGUCCGGCAAACAGUGACGAGCACUGCACUGGGGACAGAGGACGGAGCUGACGAAAACAUCCAUCCUGCUUGUGAGGGAGGAGUCACCGUCUGUUAGGGCAGACAAAUACAAACAAACAGUCUUGGCUUACGUCAUUUCAGUCAGCAUGCACUGGACGUCCACCCUGGGCCACAGCAGUGAAGGGACAUGGGUCCUGCCCUGAGAGAAGUGUGUCGUGAGGAGAGCUGUAGGAAUACACAGCGGGGCAGCUGACUUAGUCUGGUGUGGGGAGCACAGUCGGGGGAGGCUUCCCAGAGGAGGGUCACUGUAGCUGAGCCCUGGAGAAUUUGUGUGCCCCAGUUCUACACGGAGGGGCAACUGCUGGGGAGGGAGUCACGUGGACCGGUGCGGGGCCAGGGGUGGUAUUUGGUGUUCCUGGAGCAUGGGGUGUGAAGGGCAUCUGGUACAGAGCUGUGCAGGCUGGAGGUGUGCGUCGGGCGGGGAGCGGGGGGUGCCAGCCCUGUGUUAGGGUCAUCUGAGGCUCUGGGAGAUGAUGGCGGUGUCCUCCAGAGACUGGUUUGCCCCUGGCUGUGACUACCCCCAGGCCCCCUCCAGUCUUCAGUUGCCCCCUGAGUGUGUUUUUGAGAUUUCCUUUUUCCUACUGUUAAUUAAAAAAAAAAAAAAACUGUUAAUUA